GCCAAUGGAAGGAAAGCUCCAUCUUAGCUGUGCCAUAGGCUGCACUAAAAAAAGGGACCAGAACGGCGCUCUCUCAGCAUCCUUUCACACGAGAGCUCCCAAAUCUGUGCCAGUGAGCCUACUCAGACUGCUCUUCAAGAAUGGCAACCCUCAACAGCACUCACUGGAAUGAGACUACUACAUCCAUUUCCCAGUAUCUGGGCUUCCAAGUGCAAAAAAUUUACCCUUUCCACGACAACUGGAACACUGCCUGCUUUGUUAUCCUGAUCAUAUUCAUCUUCACUGUAGUUUCUCUGGUGGUGCUGGCUUUCCUGUAUGAGCUGCUGGACUGCUGCUGCUGUGUGAAAAACAAAACUGUCAAAGACUUGGAGAACGAGCCCAAUCCCGUCAGAGCAAUGAUGAACAGCUUCAGGAAGCGUGAAACGGAGGUGGUGUAGGAAGCACUGAGCACCUGCACUUGGAGAGCAAACUCGGUUUGACACCUCGAAUGAAGCCUCUUGUACCUUACAAAUGAGCAAGUCAUGUGCUUUUUUCUUUUGGACUUAAAUAUCCACGGUUGCGAUUUUAUCUCUGGAUGUGAGCUGGAAUAAUUGCAAAGGCUUUCCAAGUGCUUGGCAGAAAGACAAUCUAUUGCAGUGCUAUGGGAGGGAAAAAGGUCUUUGUUUUUAGAUGAACUUUUGCUGUUUAUAUUGGGUGACUAGAAUAGAAUUUUGUCUACCUGACUGAACAAAUUUUGCCUAACAUGCAUAAAACUGUGUUGUUUAACUGAAGAAAACACUUAUAAAAUGUUCAACAGUCUGAUCAUAUUCAGUGCAAAGACAGCAGUGUUGUCCCACCAAGUCAACCACACAGGGACAGGACAGACAGACAAGGGGUAACAAAAAAGUUGGGAGAGAAGGGUUGAACGGCAGGAGAGGACUGGGCAAAUUUUAGCCUCUGGCAGCACUUUCUGUUAUGGGUUUCUUGCUUUUAGAAGAGAGGGUGGUGGGAGGAAAACAAAGCCAACAAGCAAUGCAUCCCUAAAGUGGUCUUUUCUAGUCCUCCUAAAGGUACUUUGACCCUUUCUUUCCCCACUUCUUCAGUUCCAGGGAACUGCUCUCCCCUUACUUCAUAUGCAGUCUGGCCAGCCACUUCUGGCUGUUAAGACCUGUGUAACCGAUUACCUUCAGAAUAUCUGAUCCUUUCCAAAAAUCCUGCUGGAAAUGAACAGAGCCAAUUCUGAACCCCAAAGCAGCUGCUUCUGUGGCAACCACAACACUACAGGGAAUUGCACAUGCUGGAUCUGUCAUCCCUUUGCCAAACUUCCAAAGCCAACUGGAAGUGGUGGAGCUCUUGCCAAGAACACAGGGAGAUGGGCCACAGACCUCCCACACUGAAGAAGGGGAUGCAGCUUUCAGGUGCCAGCAUGUUUCACACAGGAGGCCACAACAGGAGCAGCGCUGAGCUAAGAGGGCAGCUUCACUGUGCACAAGAGAAUCUCCCUUGGCUUCAUCUGCCUGAUGAUAUGUCCCAGAAUUCACACUCACCCCUUCUUCAGGUCCUGACCACACAACUCUCACACCUCUGGCUCACCAGCCCUCUGUAGCUACCUUGUGUCUGGGAUUUUUAAAAGCCUUUAAGUUUUGCAGCUACAAAUGACAACUGUAACAACAGUGUCCAACAGCAGCGUGGCCAUCAGUAACUCCUGGCAAGUCCUUCCCGCUCCUGAACCCACACAGAAAUGUCCCGGAGCAAAGCUACACACAGGACAAGUUAUUUAACUGUAUCAACCCCAGAAAACAUUCCUGCCAUGGAGACUAAACCCACCCAAAUGGCCACAGCCAUAAGUGACUUCACAGUCCAUCCAUGUCUGAGAAACCUUUGUGCUAUGGCCAGUACCUAUAAUGAUCUUUUUUUUUUUCAUAUAUAUAUAUAUAUGUAUCUAUCAAAUCCCUCUCUCAGGAUGAGCAAGACUAAGCUCCAGAAGACUGGACACAGUGGAAGACUUGCUAAUAGACACAUGCUGCUCCUGUUUGGUGAGAUGGAGUCACAAGACACCCAGGGCACAAUGAACUAGCACAGCUAGUCCAGUGAUUCACCUGGAGAAGCAAACUCCCUCCUGCAGUCACAAAUCCUCACAACCACUCAUCUCAGACACACUUCUUACAGUCAAGUUUGGCCAGGACCAGUCCCCUGUGCAGAGAAUGCUUCAAGCUCAAAAUCAAAAGCACAACUGAUGGAAGCUCCAAGUACAAGACAAUUUAGGACUCCCACCAAGACGUACGACAAAGAAAACGUCAGUGGCGACAACAAUGACACGUCACUUUCUGCUGUAGGCGACAGCAUCAGACUGCAAAGUCCUGCUCAAGAGGCCACAGCAGCCAUUGGGAUGCACUGAAUUAAUUAAUGCCUCUUUCCUAAAAGCAAAUGCCCUGGACACUUGCAGCAUUCCCACAAAACGCCCAUCACGGCUGCACAGCAGAGGGCAGUGUGUGCAACACGCAGCCUCUGCUGCUCGGGCAAUGCCUUCCCGAGAAGCACACGGAAUGACAAACCUUGGGACUCAUCCCAGCUUUUUUUAUUUCACAGGUUUACAAAGGGGAAUGGCUGUGGGCACAAGAAACAGAAGACAAAGGUGUCCCCUUGCACACUACCAGAGAAGACUCAGGACGAUUCUUUCCCACGAAAUAGCCCCUGAAGAUUUCGGCUCUUGACUACUGUUGGCGGAGACCGCAGAGACAAAGGUCUUCAGACAAAGACCACAGCCACAAUUUACUACUGAUUAAUAAAAUGAAACAAACAGA